rnacentral:rRNA from 1 species
UUUAAUUCGAAGCAACGCGAAAAACCUUACCAACCUUUGACAUGGGGGUCGAGAGAUUUAGAAAUUAAUCUCGUCGGUUCGGCCGGACCCCCACAGGUGCUGCAUGGCUGUCGUCAGCUCGUGUCGUGAGAUGUUGGGUUAAGUCCCGCAACGAGCGCAACCCUCAUCUUCAGCUGCCAUCAGGUUUGGCUGGGCACUCUGAAGAAACUGCCGGUGAUAAGCCGGAGGAAGGCGGGGAUGAUGUCAAGUCCUCAUGGCCCUUAUAGGUUGGGCUACACACGUGCUACAAUGGCGGUGACAAUGGGAAGCAAAAGGGUGACCUGGAGCCAAUCCCUAAAAGCCGUCUCAGUUCGGAUUGUUCUCUGCAACUCGAGAACAUGAAGUCGGAAUCGCUAGUAAUCGCGGAUCAGCAUGCCG